GGCCUCGUAGCUCAGUUGGUUAAAGCGUUGGCUGUACCAAAGCCUUCCUCGUGCUUGCGUGGGCUCUAAUCCCACCGAGGGUG
rnacentral:tRNA from 1 species